rnacentral:lncRNA from 1 species
UUACUCUUUACCCUAAAAGACAAAAAUGGCCUACACAAAUCUUCCAUUGUCACAGUCUGAUAGUCCCCUAUCUUCAAAUUUCAAUCGUCAAUAAAAAUUAUAAUAAUAUAAAAUUUUGGUCUCAGUUAUAAAAAUUCACUAAAAAAACUCAAAAACUGAAAUGGUUGAAUUAGUUAAAAAUAAAAUUACAUCAAUAUCCCAUCGAGAAAGCAUCAAAACACAGAGAUACUUUCAUAGUUUUCACUGAAAUGCCAAGGAAUCAAUCCAAACAUCACCUAGAAACACCGAUGGUAAAAAAGUAAGACGAAACACGACUACACUAAAUUGACACCCACUCAAUAAUCUAAAAGAUAAAAAUGACCUAGAAACACGACUACACCAAAUUGACACCCACUCGAAUACAAAUUGCUGGUUUGGUUUACUAUUUGUGAUUUGUUUGUUUUACCCUUUUCUGUUAUGUCCGGAAAGAAUUGAUAUAUAUUUUUUUCAGAUAGAUUAAAUUAACAAAAAGGCAAAUUCUCUUUACAAUUGAAAAGGCCAUAAGAGUCAAACGGUGUAAGAGAUGGCAGUUAUUGUCUCAAGUUGCGAAGGGGCAUCACUUGGCCAUGGGAAUCAACAGUGAUUGCUAUUAGUACUAAUAUUUCAUGGUUAUAAUUGAAUUAUGUACGAGUUCUAUGAAAAUGGAUCAAGUUUAGUUUGUAAUUUGUCGAAAAUGCAUGAUAACAAACAUAGUUUGAUAUGAAUAUAAAUGUAUUGCUACAUGGUCCAUGUGGUUUUAAUGUUGUAGUUAGGUUCCAUUUGGAAUCAACUUAUUUGAGUUUUUCUGUUGAUUUUUUUUUAAGACAUUUUUGCUUUUUUACUUUUACUUAUUUGUUUUUUUUAAUCUAAAAUAGAGUCAGAGAAAAUCAAAAAAAAUCAAAAAAACUUCACUUUUUUAAAAGUAAGCUUAAAAAAAGCUUGGUUUUAAUCAUUACCAAACGGAGCCCUAAUGUACAAAUGUAGUUAACAUAUAUAUUUGUCAUUUGAGAACAAAUGGAAGAAAUAAAGUAUGAAAACUUGACAUCUUGCAUACCGUUGGUUAACUUGGGUCCAUUUGAGAAUUACGCAUGUUUGUACUUAGAUACUGUUUAAAUAUGAAAUUAAUGGAUACUGGAUUGCCAUAGUCCUGAAAUUUUUAUUAUAUUUGAAAUUGCAGUAAAUUUUAUGUAUGCAAUGCAUGGAUAAGAUUAAAUUCGUAUAUUUUAUUUUUUGAAUAAUAUUUUUUUAUGGAUGAAAAUAUAUAUUUGAAAAGGUGAUCAGCACCAAUCGUUGCAUGAGAAGACUAACUGUAUUUGUCUCUUCGUCGUUAUUGGUUCUAUAUUUACAUCUCAAAAGGUGUAGAUCAAUUGGUGGCACCCUUCCAUUUAAAAUGAAUGGGUAUGGCUGUGAAAUUAAAAUCAAGGGGUGUGAACGUAAAGUGCUGCAGCGAAACGAGGCUUAUUGACAAAUCGAUCUUCAUGAAUCAGUCCAAAGAAAGAUGCAAAUGGACAAACACAAGCCGUGUAAAGUUUGCCAGCAGAACUUCUGGGUUAUUUCAGGCACGUCAGUGGUAGUGGUGUUGUGUUGGUGCCAUUUCACCCUCUUGUAAUGUUUAUAUCUAAAAAAGUUGUCAGUAUAUAUGCUCCUACUCCCCUAGGCCACAUAAUUAAAUUAAAAAAGAAAUACAAAAAUUGAAAAAAGAGAGAGAGAGUGGGUGGAGAGAGAGAGAGAGAGGGGGGGACGAGAGUGUCAGCCUGUCAGGUGGUGUCCGGGGGUAGGGGGGAUCUCCUCUGUACAUGGAGCCUUAUUGUUGUACAAAACUGUAACUCAAUCUGGGCCUGCCAUGUGUCUCAUAAGCCAGUAAAAUUUAAAUUUUUGAUCAUUUUAAAAUAAAAAAAAUAAAAAUUAAAAAAAGAUUAAAAAAAGAUAAAUAUAAAAUGAUAAUAAUACUAAUAGAUUAAGGUAGUAGUAUUAUUAGAUCAUUAGUCUGUUACACAUUUUUUUUAUUUUUUUUAAUUUUAUGUAAGUGUAGGUUUUAUCUUUUUUUUAGUUUUUAUAUUUUUUGUUUGCUUUUUUUUUUAUUACAUGCAAAAUUAAAAUACCAAAAUAUACAUAAAUUAAAUGAAUUUCAUUGAUAGAUAAUUUGAAAACAUUUAUUAAAUGGUUGAAAACAUAUUUGGAAGUAUAUUUUAGCAUUACUAUGGUAGUUCGGGCUCGGGCCCAUUCGGACUUUCUGGCUUGAUUUUAAUAAAAAAAAUUCGAGCCCGUUAAUAAGCGGGCUCAAGCUCGGGCUUGAUCCUGAGAACAUUCGGGCUCGGAUCGGGUUCGGGCUGUACAGAAUCGGAUCGGGAUCGGGUGAUCUGCAAGCGGCCCAGCCCGUUUGACAACUCUACAAAGGAGACACUCAUGUGGGCCCUUCGUGAAUUGGGUCAAAUCAUGAAACUGUGGAGUAAACCAAUUUUGUUUGGUUUGGUUUCAGCCC